GCUCUUCAACGAGGAAUCCCUAGUAAGCACAAGUCAUCAGCUUGUGCUGAUUACGUCCCUGCCCUUUGUACACACCGCCCGUCGCUACUACCGAUUGAAUGGCUUAGUGAGGCCUUCGGAUUGAGAUUCGGAGUUUGGCAACAGACCCUGGGUUUUAAAAAGUUGGUCAAACUUGGUCAUUUAGAGGAAGUAAAAGUCGUAACAAGGUUUCCGUAGGUGAACCUGCGGAAGGAUCAUUACCAAUUUUAGCGAACCUAACUUUAGGGUUAUGGUCUCGCGAAAAAAACUGUAUUUAAAACCCCACUCUUUAUAUAAAAUGAAUCUAUUUAUAUAAUAAUAAAUAAAGAUCACUUUCAACAACGGAUCUCUUGGCUCUCGCAUCGAUGAAGAACGUAGCGAAGUGCGAUAAGUAAUGUGAAUUGCAGAAUUCCGUGGAUCAUCGAAUCUUUGAACGCAAAUUGCACUCUCUUCGGAGAGUAUGCCUGUUUGAGGGUCAGUAUAAUUUAAAUCGGUGUGUUGCUUUUUGUGACGCUCCGGAGUUUGAGUUAUCUUAACCUUUUUAAGAGACUUAAAAUUGACAUCUUUUUGCGCAUUUUUAGACGUACAUAAAAUUUUUUUCUAUUCGCCUAUUUUAAUGCCAAAAUCUAUUAGAUGCGACCAAUAUUUGUAUGGUUACGUAUCUAUAAUUAUUUUCAUGAUUUGACCUCAAAUCAGUAGGAGUACCCGCUGAACUUAAGCAUAUCAAUAAGCGGAGGAAAAGAAAAUAACAAUGAUUCCUUUAGUAACUGCGAGUGAAGGGGGAAAAGCUCAAAUUUUAAAAUCUGUUAAGGUUCCUUAACCCGAGUUGUAAUUUCGAAGAAGCGUUUUUCUGUGCAGUUGGUCAGACUAAGUCCUAUGAAUGAGGCAUCAUGAGGGUGAUAUUCCCGUUCGGGCUGAUCAUGCGCUUACGAUACGGCUUCAAGAGUCAGUGUUUGGGAUGCAGCUUAAUUGGAGGUAAAUUUCUCUAAGGCUAUAAGCAGAAGAACGAUAGCGACAGUACCGUGAGGUAAGAUGAAGACCUUCGAAAGAAAGUCAAUAGUACGUGUAACUGUUG
rnacentral:rRNA from 1 species